rnacentral:rRNA from 1 species
AUGAACGCUGGCGGCGUGCCUAAUACAUGCAAGUCGAGCGAACAGACGAGGAGCUUGCUCCUCUGACGUUAGCGGCGGACGGGUGAGUAACACGUGGAUAACCUACCUAUAAGACUGGGAUAACUUCGGGAAACCGGAGCUAAUACCGGAUAAUAUAUUGAACCGCAUGGUUCAAUAGUGAAAGACGGUUUUGCUGUCACUUAUAGAUGGAUCCGCGCCGCAUUAGCUAGUUGGUAAGGUAACGGCUUACCAAGGCAACGAUGCGUAGCCGACCUGAGAGGGUGAUCGGCCACACUGGAACUGAGACACGGUCCAGACUCCUACGGGAGGCAGCAGUAGGGAAUCUUCCGCAAUGGGCGAAAGCUUGACGGAGCAACGCCGCGUGAGUGAUGAAGGUCUUCGGAUCGUAAAACUCUGUUAUUAGGGAAGAACAAAUGUGUAAGUAACUAUGCACGUCUGGACGGUACCUAAUCAGAAAGCCACGGCUAACUACGU